rnacentral:sRNA from 1 species
CAAUGUAAAAGAAAUCUAGCUGUAUACCAUGUCCCUCCAUUAAUAUGUAGAAUAACUUGCCACAGUGUAUCUAGCAAGGUAGAUGUCAUUUUCUCUACUCCCUCUUUAUAUGUGACCCUCUAGAAGCCGUUACUUUUGCCCAAGAUGAUGACUUUCCUCCUAAGAGAAGAGUUUUUCAUCAGGCAAGAAUAUCUAAGUAGGGGCAUUUCUCUCUUAGAACCUCUUUCUACCGCUGUUGAUUGCACCACCUAGCAGGAGUGUUUGCUAUCUAAUGGCAAGGCAGGACUACUCCAAGAGCCUAAGCCACAGUUGGAAGAUGGUCC